rnacentral:rRNA from 1 species
GACGAACGCUGGCGGCGUGCUUAAUACAUGCAAGUCGAGCGAGGUCCAUCUGGUGGCAACACCAGUGAAGGCCGAGCGGCGAACGGGUGAGUAACACGUGAGCAACCUGCCCCGAAGUCUGGAAUAACAUCGGGAAACCGGUGCUAAUACCGGAUCGCCCCACCUGACCGCAUGAUCGGGUGAGGAAAGAUUUAUCGCUUCGGGAGGGGCUCGCGGCCUAUCAGCAGUUGGUGGGGUAACGGCCUACCAAGGCAUCGACGGGUAGCUGGUCUGAGAGGACGACCAGCCACACUGGGACUGAGACACGGCCCAGACUCCUACGGGAGGCAGCAGUAGGGAAUCUUGCGCAAUGGGCGAAAGCCUGACGCAGCAACGCCGCGUGGGGGAUGA